rnacentral:tRNA from 1 species
GCCAGCGUAGCUCAGUGGUAGAGCAGCUGAUUCGUAAUCAGCAGGUCCUCGGUUCAAUCCCGAGCGCUGGCUCCA